AGGAAGGAGUAUUUACGGAUUCAACUGCCAAUAGGUAUAAAACUAUGAUUUGCACCACAGAUUUUCUG
rnacentral:tRNA from 1 species